ACUCCUACGGGAGGCAGCAGUGGGGAAUAUUGCGCAAUGGGCGAAAGCCUGACGCAGCCAUGCCGCGUGUGUGAAGAAGGCCCUAGGGGUUGUAAAGCACUUUCAAUUGGGGAAGAAAAGCUGCUGGUUAAUAACCAGUAGCCCUGACAUUACCUUUAGAAGAAGCACCGGCUAACUCCGUGCCAGCAGCCGCGGUAAUACGGAGGGUGCGAGCGUUAAUCGGAAUUACUGGGCGUAAAGCGCGCGUAGGCGGUUUGUUAAGUCGGAUGUGAAAGCCCCCGGGCUCAACCUGGGAACUGCACCCGAUACUGGCCGACUAGAGUACGAGAGAGGAGGUAGAAUUCCAUGUGUAGCGGUGAAAUGCGUAGAUAUAUGGAGGAAUACCAGUGGCGAAGGCGGCUCCUGGCUCGAUACUGACGCUGAGGUGCGAAAGCGUGGGAGCAAACAGGAUUAGAUACCCCUGGUAGCGACUGA
rnacentral:rRNA from 1 species